rnacentral:rRNA from 1 species
GACGAACCGAGCGAACGUUAUUCGGAAUCACUGGGCUUAAAGGGCGCGUAGGCGGGCGAUCAAGUCAGGGGUGAAAGCCCCCAGCUCAACUGGGGAAGUGCCUCUGAUACUGGUGGCCUCGAGGGAGGUAGGGGCGUGCGGAACUUCCGGUGGAGCGGUGAAAUGCGUAGAUAUCGGAAGGAACAUCGGUGGCGAAAGCGGCGCGCUGGACCUCUUCUGACGCUGAGGCGCGAAAGCCAGGGGAGCGAACGGG